GAUGAACGCUGGCGGCGUGCCUAAUACAUGCAAGUCGAGCGAACGGACGAGAAGCUUGCUUCUCUGAUGUUAGCGGCGGACGGGUGAGUAACACGUGGAUAACCUACCUAUAAGACUGGGAUAACUUCGGGAAACCGGAGCUAAUACCGGAUAAUAUUUUGAACCGCAUGGUUCAAAAGUGAAAGACGGUCUUGCUGUCACUUAUAGAUGGAUCCGCGCUGCAUUAGCUAGUUGGUAAGGUAACGGCUUACCAAGGCAACGAUGCAUAGCCGACCUGAGAGGGUGAUCGGCCACACUGGAGCUGGAACACGGUCCAGACUCCUACGGGAGGCAGCAGUAGGGAAUCUGCCGCAAUGGUCGGAAGCCUGACGGAGCGACGCCGCGUGAGUGAUGGAGGUCUUCGGAUCGUAAUACUCUGUUAUUAGGGAAGAACAUAUGUGUAAGUAACUGUGCACAUCUUGACGGUACCUAAUCAGAAAGCCACGGCUAACUACGUG
rnacentral:rRNA from 1 species